UUCUGACGAGAACUCGAGCCGCGU
rnacentral:piRNA from 1 species